rnacentral:tRNA from 1 species
UAAUAACUAGUUUAUAGGAACACCGCAAUUUGAGUGCGAAGGAAGUAGUGUAACUCUGCUGUUGUUAG